AAGGGAAAAGAUCCCACUUGUACACAUAUAUCUAUAGCAGCUCCUUAAUUUCAAUGCUGUUGAGCAUCUGGUUCCUCAGGCCAGCCAGAACUUCACCACCUACAGCAACUCAGGUGUACUGGGUUUAUCUGAAUUUGAGAUGCAAAGGAUUGAGUUGCUACAGCUGUUACAUUCUUGGGAGGAAUCAUUCAAGUCGCCAUGUUUGUGCUGCAUCUGGGCAGUGCCACAUUCUUGCUAACAGAACCUGUGAUCAGUGCAAUGAAAACUGGAGCUGCCACCCAUGUUGUGACCUCACAAGUCAAGUUUCUCCUUGGAUUGAAAACGCCCUAUAUCUCAGGUCCAUUGGGAUUCUUUCAUGGUCUAAAUUAGAACCUGUCAUGGUGUUGUGA
rnacentral:lncRNA from 1 species